rnacentral:rRNA from 1 species
UACGUAGGUGGCAAGCGUUUGUCCGGAUUUACUGGGCGUAAAGAGCGCGCAGGCGGUCGUUCAAGUCGCGUGUGAAAGCCCCCGGCUCAACUGGGGAGGGUCACGCGAUACUGAUCGACUGGAAGGCAGGAGAGGGUAGUGGAAUUCCCGGUGUAGUGGUGAAAUGCGUAGAUAUCGAGAGGAACACCUGCGGCGAAGGCGGGUAGCUGGGCCGUAACUGACGCUGAGGAGCGAAAGCGUGGGGAGCGAACAGG